UAGAACACAGAAUAUAGUCACAAUCCAGGAUAUCUCCCAUAGAUGCCAAGAUCAAUACUACAUGAAGCCUCUGAAUGGGUUUAAAGCAAUAGAACCCACAAAUAUUUAGAGUGGAAGAAAUUUCCAGCACAAGAUAUUUUAGAAGAACUUCAUAAAAGAAAUCCACUUCCAUCAGAAUACAUCCUCAUACACUAUCGUUGUUUAAGUAUAUAAUGAUCUCCUGGUUCUGCUCAUUUCACUCAGCAUCAGUUCAUGUAUAAUGAAGACUAUCAGAUCAUGGGGCUCCAUUUUCUCACUUUUUUCAGUUUCCUUUUUCUUCCAGAUGCUCACAUUGACCUCAGGUCAGGAAGAGAUGAUAUCAAUGGAUCCCGAGGUGGGAAAGAUUAUGAGGAACGUCAUUAGCUUCUGGAUGGUAUCACAAAUGUUUAGUACAUAUAUAUUCCUCACUGAUGAAUAUAUUAAGAAACAUGCCUUUGCAUGGCAGAUAAAUGGGAUCCUGGCAGUGACAGGCUCACUGGAAGUGGGCGUUUGUAUUUGUUAUUUGUGGACAAAGCACAGAUGCUCAGGGCUUAUUUUCAAGGAAGAAUCGAUGAACUGGUUUGCUUGGGGUAUCACACUGAUCAUCUUCCUAUUCUUAGGAAUAAUAAUUUUGAAAAGGAAAUAUAGAUAUACCUUCUUACUUAUGGUGACAAUGUUUUUAAUUGGUUUCCACAACAUUGAGAGCAUCACCUUUGUGUUUCCUGUGAUGAGGCUAUAUCUUUCUCUGUUUAUUUCUCUAAGUGUAAUUUAAUAAGAAAACUGAUUGCAGUAAAAUUCUCUUCUCCAAACUCUAACGGUGUUUCUGAUUUAGUUUCUUCAAUAGAACAAUAUCUACGUCCCACACAUGGUUGUAUUAAUACCCAAUUAUUCUUACAUCAUUCUGAAGCAUUUAAUGUCCUUAUUUUUUAC
rnacentral:lncRNA from 1 species